rnacentral:pre_miRNA from 1 species
AAUAAGUGCAGCCGUGAAUAUCCGUGUCUAACGUUUGACCGUUCGUCUUAUUUAAAAAAAUUAUAAAAAAAAUUUAAAAAAUAGUCAUACAUAAAGUACUAUUAAUGUUUUAUCAUCUAAUAGUAAUAAAAAUAUUAAUCAUAAAAAAUUUUCAAAUAAGACGAACGGUCAAAUGUUGAAUGUGAAUAGUGCAAAACUACACUUAUU